rnacentral:rRNA from 1 species
GACCUUCGGGAGCUGUUACAGGUGUUGCAUGGCUGUCGUCAGCUCGUGUCGUGAGAUGUUCGGUUAAGUCCGCUAACCGAGCGCAACCCGCGUUGUGUGUUACAAGUGUCACACAAUUACCGCCGGUAUUAAGUCGGAGGAAGGUGCGGAUGACGUCAAGUCAGCAUGACCUUUAUAUCCAGGGCUACACACACGCUACAAUGGUCGGCACAAUAGGUUGCCAAGUCGUGAGACGGAGCCAAUCCUCCAAAGCCGGCCUCAGUUCAGAUUGCAGGCUGCAACUCGCCUGCAUGAAGUUGGAGUUGCUAGUAAACGCAGGUCAGCUAUACUCGCGUUCGAAUACGUUCCCGGGCCUU